rnacentral:rRNA from 1 species
AGCGAACGCUGGCGGCAGGCUUAACACAUGCAAGUCGAGCGGACCUUUCGGGGUCAGCGGCGGACGGGUGAGUAACGCGUGGGAACGUGCCUUCCGGUUCGGAAUAACCCUGGGAAACUAGGGCUAAUACCGGAUACGCCCUUAUGGGGAAAGGUUUACUGCCGGAAGAUCGGCCCGCGUCUGAUUAGCUAGUUGGUGGGGUAACGGCCUACCAAGGCGACGAUCAGUAGCUGGUCUGAGAGGAUGAUCAGCCACACUGGGACUGAGACACGGCCCAGACUCCUACGGGAGGCAGCAGUGGGGAAUAUUGGACAAUGGGCGCAAGCCUGAUCCAGCCAUGCCGCGUGAGUGAUGAAGGCCUUAGGGUUGUAAAGCUCUUUUAUCCGGGACGAUAAUGACGGUACCGGAAGAAUAAGCCCCGGCUAACUUCGUG